CACCGGCGCACGGGUGAGUAACACGUAUCCAACCUGCCGAUGACUCGGGGAUAGCCUUUCGAAAGAAAGAUUAAUACCCGAUGGCAUAGUUCUUCCGCAUGGUAGAACUAUUAAAGAAUUUCGGUCAUCGAUGGGGAUGCGUUCCAUUAGCUUGUUGGCGGGGUAACGGCCCACCAAGGCAUCGAUGGAUAGGGGUUCUGAGAGGAAGGUCCCCCACAUUGGAACUGAGACACGGUCCAAACUCCUACGGAAGGCAGCAG
rnacentral:rRNA from 1 species